CAAAAGAUAGUUUUGAGAGAAAAGAAAAACAGAGUGACGACGCCGUUAGAUGCGCGGAGAAGAAAAACUCACCGUGUACGGAGCAGAAACCCGAGAAGAAGAUUCGGAUCUCUCCAUCGAGGCGUUGAUAAAAUCGAUCAAACCAGAAGAAGGUUGAAGAAAAAAAGAUAGUGGAGAGCUUUUUCUGAUAAAAUAGUGGUCAGAGUCUUUUGAAAAACGCUCAUCAUGCGAUGCAAUGUAAGAGGUAACGCCUCGUGCUGGGACCCACAAAUAUCAAUAUUCUAACAACCGUUUAUGGAGCAACUGGAUUAUAAUUUUUAUGUGAUUAAUUAUUUUAAUAGAAUGGAAGUCAUUCUACCAAUCUCAAAAAUAAUUAAAUAAAAUACAAAGAAAAACUAUUCUUUGACAAAUUUGUUAAUGAAUAAAUAAAAUAAAUAUUAUUAUACU